AACGAACGCUGGCGGCAUGCCUAACACAUGCCAGUCGAACGAGACCUUCGGGUCUAGUGGCGCACGGGUGCGUAACGCGUGGGAACCUGCCCUUCGGUUCGGUAUCACUCCCCGACAGGGGUGCUAAUACCGGAUAAUGUCUUCGGACCAAAGAUUUAUCGCAUUUGGAUGGGCCCGCGUUGGAUUAGCUAGUUGGUAGGGUAAAAGCCUACCAAGGCGACGAUCCAUAGCUGGUCUGAGAGGAUGAUCAGCCACACUGGGACUGAGACACGGCCCAGACUCCUACGGGAGGCAGCAGUGGGGAAUAUUGGACAAUGGGCGAAAGCCUGAUCCAGCAAUGCCGCGUGAGUGAUGAAGGCCUUAGGGUUGUAAAGCUCUUUUAGCCGGGAUGAUAAUGACAGUACCGGGAGAAUAAGCUCCGGCUAACUCCGUG
rnacentral:rRNA from 1 species